rnacentral:rRNA from 1 species
CAAGUCGCCACGGUAACACGUAGGUGGCAAGCGUUGUCCGGAAUUAUUGGGCGUAAAGGGCUCGCAGGCGGUUUCUUAAGUCUGAUGUGAAAGCCCCCGGCUCAACCGGGGAGGGUCAUUGGAAACUGGGAAACUUGAGUGCAGAAGAGGAGAGUGGAAUUCCACGUGUAGCGGUGAAAUGCGUAGAGAUGUGGAGGAACACCAGUGGCGAAGGCGACUCUCUAGUCUGUAACUGACGCUGAGGAGCGAAAGCGUGGGGAGCGAACAGGAUUAGAUACCCCCGUAGUCCCUGUCUCUUAUA